rnacentral:rRNA from 1 species
GACGAACGCUGGCGGCGUGCUUAACACAUGCAAGUCGAACGGUAAGUCCCCAGCUUGCUGUGGUGCACGAGUGGCGAACGGGUGAGUGACACGUGGGUCACCUGCCCUGCACUUCGGGCUAAGCCUGGGACACUUGGUCUAAUACCGGAUAGGCCCACGUUGUGGAUACUGUGGUGGAAAGUUUUUUCGGUAUGGGAUGGGUCCGCGGCAUAUCAGCUUGUGGGUGGGGUAAUGGCGUACGAAGGCGGCGACGGGUCGCCGGCCUGGGAGGGUGGACGGCCACAUUGGGACUGGGACACGGCCCGUACUCCUACGGGAGGCAGCAGUGGGGAAUAUUGCGCAAUGGGCGGAAGCCUGAUGCAGCGACGCCGCGUGGGGGAUGACGGCCUUCGGGUUGUAAACUCCUGUCACCAUCGACGAAGGGUUUCUGACGGUAGAUGGAGAAGAAGCACCGGCUAACUACGUG